rnacentral:rRNA from 1 species
GCAUCGAUGAAGAACGCAGCGAACUGCGAUAAGUAGUGUGAAUUGCAGAAUUCAGUGAAUCAUCGAGUCUUUGAACGCACAUUGCGCCCCCUGGCAUUCCGGGGAGCAUGCCUGUUCGAGCGUCAUUACACCACUCAAGCCUGGCUUGGUAUUGAGCGCCGCGGCCUGCCCGCGCGCUCCAAUGUCUCCGGCUGAGCCGUCCGUCUCUAAGCGUUGUGAAUAGCGAUCGCUUGCGAGGCCCGGGCGGUUCGACGCCGUUAAACCCCCCAUUUUCUAUGGUUGACCUCGGAUCAGGUAGGGAUACCCGCUGAACUUAAGCAUAUCAAUAAGCGGAGGA